GUUCCUAAGAGGCAGGUUGACUGAGGGAAAUGGCUCCUUGUCACUCAGCUAACCUUCAAGGAAGAGGAGUGCCUGACUACACACUUUGCAAAUGUCCAGAUGCUGUUAGAGACACUUGACGGUGGAAUUUUGUGAUGCAAACUCACAGGUCUUGCAUUUGUGCACAGCUAUUUGAGAGUCAAGAGGGUGGUCCUUUCGACUGUCUCCAGCACAAAGUGCCGAGAGAGAGAGACAGAUGUGCUACUGCAGAACCCAUCGCUAAAGCUUUUGUUGCUGGACAAUCCGAUACACACAGAUACCUGCAGGAAAACAGGAAUCUGAAGGGGUGACAGGGUCCUUGGCGUUCUCAUUUACAACAGCAUUCCUGUAAGGGACUCUUGUUAAACCUAAAAGAAACAAAGAAACAAACAAGCCAUGCUGAAAAAAAUGAUAGUAGCUAUCAAACCAAGUACGAAGAGUUGGAGAGAGGAGUCCCCAAAUACAUGGUGAAAUGCAUCCUAUUGUAAUAUAACGAGAGAUGUACUAUCCUCGACACGAAUGAACAGAAAGCAAUGAGAGGUCCAUCCAGCUGGCAGAGUGGGUAAGGUUGUAACUGACAGCCAAUACUCACCUCCCCUCCUUCAGCCAGUUAUGGAUUUAUCUUUUAGACACAGAUCUAAAGAAGCUUCUCACUCAAGCAUUGUGAGUAUCCCUCAGCACGCCCCGGGGCCAGUCCCAACAUCCCCAUCCACAAUGGCCACAACACUGCUAAUCCUUAAAUCAUGGCUUAGCACUGUAACACAGAGACAUCUGCUGGGCGGGAGUCCAGGGUGCGAGUUGGAACCCCAAGUGCUGUUUUCCUGGAUAAUCUCAUGUCACCUCUCCAGGCAUCUUUGCUUGAACUGCCACCCACUGGGUGAGGUCUCACCCACCAUCCUCUCUAACGUGAUUUUCUCUCGCCUAUUGUCACGUUUUUCCACUGAUUUCCAUUUAGCACUUAUCAAAAUAAAAUCACUUCAUUUUACACUCCUUUGUCUGCCUCCCCUGCCUGCAGCUAUUGUUGAAGCAAGCAGGACCCUCUUUGGUCUGCCUCCUCCUGCAUCUCUACCUUUGAGUACAGUGUGCUGUACAUUGUAAAUGGCUUUGUAAAACUGAACAAAUGACUGAAUGGUGGCUGAGAGGCUGCUGGUCCAUCCCUCUAUUUCCUUCUGGUUAUGAAAUUUGAUUAAAAACAUCACAUUUAGGAUCAAAGCUAUUAUGGGAGACUAUUAAGUCAACAUAAAUAACUAAAAUGUGCCUGAAGAAAAAACAAGAGAUUGUAGAUACAGAAAAGAUAAUCAUCUCUACCGUGUUUAAAAACAGACGAUGAAACAAGAACUCAGAAGCCCAGGAGUCCCGCUGCAAAGGCUCACUCACAAGAAUGCCUGAUUUCUGGGAGAACUGACGACCAGGAUGGGCCAGGAGCAGCUGGGUGUGCCUGCUGUUUUAUGUGGAGGUGAGCAACUGCAUAGACAGCUCACCAGUCCAGAAGGACCCUCUUUAUACUGAUGCUGAAGUCAUAUCGUGGUUUGAAUGUGAAAUGUGCCCUAUCAAUCGACUCAAGGGUGUCAACACUCAGUCCCCAGCUGCUGAUCCUGUUUGGGAAGCUUGUGGAAUCUUUAUCAGAUGGAGCUUCAGUGGAGGAAGUUGGUCACUGGGGAUGGAUGGUCUCAUUACUCUUUACUCUCUGCUCCUUCACUGCUGGUGCACUGCUACCAUCCGGCCUCCUGCCUGCCUUCUCUAACUCAAGCCAUGUCCUCCCUGUCCUGAAGGAAUGAUCUCCAUCAACUGUAGGCCAGAAUAAACCUUUUCUUCC
rnacentral:lncRNA from 1 species